AGCGAAAGCGAGUCUGAACAGGGCGUAUAGUUAGUUGGAGUAGACCCGAAACCACAGUGAUCUACCCAUGUCCAGGUUGAAGCACAGGUAAAAAUGUGUGGAGGACCGAACCAGUGAGCGUUGAAAAGCUUUUGGAUGAGAUGUGGGUAGGGGUGAAAUGCCAAUCGAACGUGGAGAUAGCUGGUUCUCCCCGAAAUAGCUUUAGGGCUAGCCUCAUGGCGAGAGUACAGGCGGUAGAGCACUGAACGGGGUAGGGGCCUAUCCGGCUACUGAACCUAAUCAAACUGCGAAUGGCUGUACUUAUCCAUGGGAGUCAGACUGUGAGUAAUAAGGCCCAUAGUCAAGAGGGAAACAGCCCAGACCAACAGCUAAGGUCCCCAAUGCCGUACUAAGUGGCGAAGGAUGUGGAAUUUCGAAAACAACCAGGAUGUUGGCUCAGAAGCAGCCACCAUUAAAAGAGUGCGUAAUAGCUCACUGGUCGAGAGACUCUGCGCCGAAGAUGUCCGGGGCUAAAGUACGGAACCGAAGCUUUGGCAAUUAACAUAAGUUAAUUGGGUAGGGGAGCGUUCCUGCAUGGGAGAAGCCUGACCGGAAGGACAGGUGGACAGGCAGGAAGAGAGAAUGCCGGUAUGAGUAGCGAAAAGAAGGGUGAGAAUCCCUUCCACCGAAAGCCUAAGGGUUCCUGGGCAACGAUCGUCGUCCCAGGGUAAGUCGGGACCUAAUCCGAGGCGGAGACGCGUAGGAGAUGGACAACAGGUUGAAAUUCCUGUACUGGCUGAGGCCGUUUGAGCGAAGGAGUGACACAGGAAGGAAGGCGCGCGUGCGAAUGGAAGAGCACGUCCAAGCAGGUAGGUCGGGAGACAGGCAAAUCCGUUUCCCAUAAGGCCGAGAUGCGAUGGGGAGCUUCUGGAGACAGAAGCGAAGGGGCUGGCACUAAACUGUCGAGAAAAGCUUCUAGUGAGGACUCAGGCACCCGUACCGAAACCGACACAGGUAGGCAGGAUGAGAAUUCUAAGGUGCGCGGGAAAACCCUCGUUAAGGAACUCGGCAAAAUAUAUCCGUAACUUCGGGAAAAGGAUAACCCAGCGUACGUGAAGUGCAGAAACGCAUGGAGCGGAGAUGGGUGGCAGAAGAGAGGCCCAAGCGACUGUUUACCACAAACACAGGCGUCUGCUAAAGCGAAAGCUGAUGUAUAGAUGCUGACACCUGCCCGGUGCUGGAAGGUUAAGAGGAAGUGUUAGCGCAAGCGAAGCAGUGAAUUGAAGCCCCAGUAAACGGCGGCCGUAACUAUAACGGUCCUAAGGUAGCGAAAUUCCUUGUCGGGUAAGUUCCGACCCGCACGAAAGGUGUAACGAUUUGGGCACUGUCUCAACGAGGGACCCGGUGAAAUUGAAGUACCUGUGAAGAUGCAGGUUACCCGCGACUGGACAGAAAGACCCCAUGGAGCUUUACUGUAACCUGAGAUUGGAUUCCGGUAAGAGAUGUACAGGAUAGUUGGGAGGCUGAGAAGUGAGUACGCCAGUAUUCACGGAGCCGCUGGUGGGAUACCAACCUUGUUUUAUUGGAAUUCUAACGAGAAGCGUAACGAGCUUGCGGACAGUCUCAGGCGGGCAGUUUGACUGGGGCGGUCGCCUCCGAAAGAGUAACGGAGGCGCCCAAAGGU
rnacentral:rRNA from 1 species